CCGCGUAUGGCUCAUUAUAACAGCUAAAAUUUACUUGAUUUUGACUUUUAUCCUACAUGGAUAACUGUGGUAAUUCUGGAGCUAAUACAUGCAUAAAAGAUAUAACAUUUAUAUGUUAUAUUGCGUAUAUUAGUAUUAAAACCAAGCAUUCUUCGGAAUGUUUUGUGUUGAAACUGAAUAUAUCAUGCUGAUCGUAUGGUCUUGUACCGACGACAUGUCAUUCAAGUGUCUGAUCUAUCAACUUUCUAUAUAAGUAUAUAGUACUUAUAUGGUUUUGACGGAUAACGGGGUAUUAGGGUACGACUCCGGAGAAAAUGCCUGAGAAAUCGCGAACACAUCUAAGGAAGGCAGCAGGCGCGAAAAUUACCCACUCUCAGCACGAGGAGGUAGUGACGAAAAAUAACGAGACCGUUCUCUUUCGAGGCCGGUCAUCGGAAUGGGUACAAUUUAAACCCUUUAACGAGUAUCUAUGAGAGGGCAAGUCUGGUGCCAGCAGCCGCGGUAAUUCCAGCU
rnacentral:rRNA from 1 species